rnacentral:sRNA from 1 species
GUUGUGAUUUGCUAAAUUUUAAUCAUGGCUUGUUCGGCCGAUCUAGGAGGAUUUUUCACAUGAAAAACGGUAAAGUUAAAUGGUUCAAUGCGGAAAAGGGUUUUGGAUUCAUCGAAGCUGAAGACGGCAAUGAUGUUUUCGUACAUUACUCUGCUAUUCAAACAGAAGGUUUCAAAACAUUAGAAGAAGGCCAGGAAGUAUCUUUCGAGGUUGUGGAAGGUGCUCGCGGACCACAAGCUGCUAACGUUACUAAACUAUAAUUCUUAAUUUGAUCUUAUAGCUCAGCCAUCUGGCUGGGCUUUUUAU